rnacentral:rRNA from 1 species
GACGAACGCUGGCGGCGUGCUUAACACAUGCAAGUCGAACGGAAAGGCCCUGCUUUUGUGGGGUGCUCGAGUGGCGAACGGGUGAGUAACACGUGAGUAACCUGCCCUUGACUUUGGGAUAACUUCAGGAAACUGGGGCUAAUACCGGAUAGGAGCUCCUGCUGCAUGGUGGGGGUUGGAAAGUUUCGGCGGUUGGGGAUGGACUCGCGGCUUAUCAGCUUGUUGGUGGGGUAGUGGCUUACCAAGGGUUUGACGGGUAGCCGGCCUGAGAGGGUGACCGGCCACAUUGGGACUGAGAUACGGCCCAGACUCCUACGGGAGGCAGCAGUGGGGAAUAUUGUACAAUGGGCGGAAGCCUGAUGCAGCAACGCCGCGUGCGGGAUGACGGCCUUCGGGUUGUAAACCGCUUUCGCCUGUGACGAAGCGUGAGUGACGGUAAUGGGUAAAGAAGCACCGGCUAACUACGUG